rnacentral:lncRNA from 1 species
CAUUGACAAGAGAGGGUCCAGCCCAUUGUGGGUGGGGCCAUCCCUAGUCCGGUGGUCCUGGAUUCCAUAAGAAAGCAGACAGAACCAGCCAUACAAAAAUCCCCAGGAAGAAAUAAGCAGCAUCCCUCUCGAUUGAUAAGAUACCAUGAUCAGAAACAAUUUACAGAAAGAAGAGUCUUGGGUUCCAGAGAGAGUCCAUGAUGU